rnacentral:sRNA from 1 species
CAGACCGUGAAUAUCUUGGCAACAAGCCGUGCACGGGCCUCGUGGAAGAACGGU